UCUUCCACGUGGAGAGCGCAUCCUCUCUACCACAGCUCCAGCCGGCUCCUCUCUGGAGACGCCUCUUUCCUAGGAGCAGCUUGGAACCUCAGACAACUCCGCUCUCCUCCUGCUGCACCUCAGCUCAUCACACCCUCCUCUGGGGUGCCUCAACUCUCUUAAGAGAUGAACGGUGGUAGAGUUCACCUGUAAAGCCCUUCAAGCUGGACGUUAUGGCUACCAUUCCAUCACCUCCUCAAGCACAAGGUCACGGCUGAAGUUAAGGGUACAGAGGUGGCCCCUGGUUAUCUUCAGAGCCCAAUACCAGCCUAGGAUUGCUUCCUUUGCAGCUAUGCUUAUACGAGAGGGAAAUGAAAGUUCUAUUUUGUUCAAGCCUAUCAUAUCGUCUCUUUCUGAUAGUUCUAGCACUGAAGUUCUUAAAUGUGUACCUUACCAUUUAUUUUAUCUGAUUCAAGUUGAAGACACAUAGUUUCCUCCAACAUUUUGUAAUUUUUGACAGUGAGCUCAGCAUUCAAAGAUAUUUUAUCUGUAUAUACCCUACAGUUCUUGAAUGAGGGUGUGUCCUUCCUCCAAAAUUGUACAUGCUUCUGUCAGGUGUCCAGGGCAACUCACUGGCACGAGACCACUUUUUAUAUUAU